GAUAUGUAUCCUGCCCUUAUGGGAUCAAAUUAUCCACAAGAGGGGGGUCUUUAGAGUUUCAUUUUACACAUAGUAAAGAUGUAGAAUACACAUAUUCAGGUAUGGGUUGAAUUUGGAGCAAAGAAACUGCAAAACAUCCUUGGUGACAAGAUACCAAGGAAAUUAGAUUCUGUGUGUCUGACAAGUAGGAAGUUCUUGUCUGCACAUUACAGCAUGGCAAAGAAAGUCAGAGAGGUAAGUCAUUUGUCAAGGACGCACCAGGAGACAGUGAGAUAGCUGGGAAGAGCUAUUUUCUGCUGCUGAGCCUCUGUGCUUUAACCCCAGGAUCGUACAAAUGAACGCAGGCAGAAACCUGACCUGAAAAUAGCAGAUUUUCAGUUAAGAUCACUAAUGAGGAUUUUAAUUAGUUGAGUAAGCCAGUGUCAAUACAACCAGUAAACCGAACUCCAUGACCUAGCAGCCUACUUCUUCCUGAAGGAAGCUGUAUUCUAGACGAGUGUGAAUCAGGCCUUUUAGCUAUUUUUUACCAUUUAUUAGCACAAGUCUUGCUUCAUUAACUUUUUUUUUUUUUUUUUAAUUCAUUUAAGUAGCAUUGUUCUAUUUGGGGUGUAGAUCCAUUCUGAAUGUGCUCACCUGGAUGAGGGCGGCCAGCGAUUUCCAUCAAGGGCCACGUGGCUCACUCCUGGGACCUUGCUAGCCCAGUGUCAUCUUCUCACAUGGUGGCUGGGCUUUCCCUGCCCACCUCUCUCCAGUCUGCCGGCUUGAACUGCAGUUAACCCCCCUCUGCUGCAAGGGGAACAUGCAGCACUCUGCCAGUGCUGGUGCCAGUGCUCCUCCACAG